rnacentral:tRNA from 1 species
GGGAAAGUGGCUCAGUGGUAGAGUGCUUGCCUUGCAUGCAUGAGGCCUGGGUUCGAUUCCUCAGCACCA